GACGAACGCUGGCGGCGUGCUUAACACAUGCAAGUCGAACGGAAAGGCCCUGCUUUUGUGGGGUGCUCGAGUGGCGAACGGGUGAGUAACACGUGAGUAACCUGCCCUUGACUUUGGGAUAACUUCAGGAAACUGGGGCUAAUACCGGAUAGGAGCUCCUGCUGCAUGGUGGGGGUUGGAAAGUUUCGGCGGUUGGGGAUGGACUCGCGGCUUAUCAGCUUGUUGGUGGGGUAGUGGCUUACCAAGGCUUUGACGGGUAGCCGGCCUGAGAGGGUGACCGGCCACAUUACGACUGAGAUACGGCCCAGACUCCUACAGGAGGCAGCAGUGGGGAAUAUUACACAAUGGGCGGAAGCCUGAUGCAGCAACGCCGCGUGCGGGAUGACGGCCUUCGGGUUGUGAACCGCAUUCGCCUGUGACGAAGCGUGAGUGACGGUAAUGGGUGAAGAAGCACCGGCUAACUACGUG
rnacentral:rRNA from 1 species